CUUCUUGUCAACGCCUCGUUCACCGCCCCCAGUGAAUCGUCUGGUCGCUGCUUCCUCUUUCACCUCCGAUAUGCCUCCGCCUCCACCUCCACCUACACCUCAUAUUCCUCUUCCUUCUUCUCUGCCUUUCUUUAUCUCUUCCUCCUACCCCGUCUCAUCUUCCUUCUCCGCUCCACAUAUUCCUGCCCCUAUGCAAGUCCUCCUCGCUCCUUUUCCCCCCUUUCUUGGUCUGGAAAGCAUCGGUCCAUACCGAGUGUCAGGAUAUUGAUCUGUAUCGAAAGCGUACUAGUUUGGCCGCUUAUCGGUAUUGACACCAGAUAACAAAAUUUUAAACCUUGAAUUACAGUCCGCAGUCCAGCUCUUCCGCAAUUACUGCUUUCUCGAAGAACUCGGUGAAGUAUGGUUCUUUUAGCAGGAUUCUCCUGCUCGAAGGACCACUGACGAAACUGCUAUUUAGAAUCUUGUUGGAAGGACGAGUAGUGCUUGUGUUUGGCCUUGAGCCAAAUGAAUUCUCAUGUUCUGCUGUAAUCUGAGUUUGCACUUUUUUUCUUUCCUGCAGAGAGAAAAGAUGUUAUUGACAAUCCGGAACAAAUCAUCUAAACAAGGGGUUAAAAAUUGUUUGCUCUUCAGAACAAUCCUUUGCAGAACUUCUUUAGAUAUUCUUGUAUCCUUCAUCGAAUUGCACUAGAACUUACUCUUUGCCUUUGUUUCUCCUCCUCUUUUUCUUGCUUUAACAGAGUGUACUCUUUAAGCAUUGCCAUUAGAGGUACCUGUAAUUUUAUAAAGAUUGAUUAUAUAUGGGAUGAAAAAUUUCAGUU